AAGAAAUAAACCUACACAACUUGUUUUGUACAGUGAGAGUAUAAAGUAGGUAUAUAAACUCUCUGUUGUCUAACAGUUUAAGCACAUUAAAAACACCAGAUGUCUUUUAACUUAAGCUCGAAUCUCGAAUUCAAGCCUACUGUUCCAGAGAUGGCCUUCAAAAAUGUUUCAGAUACUGUUUCACCUAUAAAAAUUCUUUGGGGAUAAAGCUCGUCAUUUUAAUAUAGAGUUUAGCUCCAAUGGAAGAAUUCCGUUGCUUGCUGCAUAAUAUACAGCAAUUGCAAUCAAAAGAACAAGUAUGACGAUCCACAAGCUCAGACCACUUUUCUUCUCUUCCUUUAUAAUUGUCACUCUCACUCUUGAAUCCAAGGAGGCAGAAAGCAAAGCCCUCGAAUCUUCUGAGAACUUCAAUGUUGUUACAAGACCAAGAUGAGCCUUUUUUACCACAUUUUGCACUUGAAAAUUGUUGGAAGACACUAUCAGAACAUCUCCCUCAAUUGUUCCUAUUGCCAGAAGCUUUCCAUUGGGUGAAAUAUUGAAGGCACAAAUAGGAUCACGAACAACACGCUUUGAUUUUAUCCUCCUCCACGUAGUAGUACUCCACUUCGAAAUACUUCCCCCUUGAUCUCGCAUUGUGGUGAUGUAUAGAACCUGAUUCUCAUCGUUAAUUGGUGCGAAUCUACAAUAGCCAAAAAUCUCAUCAUUUUCCUUCGUCAAAGAAGCUACAGAGGUUGAUUUUGAGACAUCCCAAAUCCGGCAAGGGCCGCUUCCAACAGAUGCAAGAAAUUUUCCAUCCGGGCUGAAGUCUAGAUCCUUCACAGAAGCAUGAGCAUUAGCCUGAUCAAGAAUAUUUUCCAUCCUAGGCCACUUAAAAACCCUCAACUUGCCAUCCUCACCACCGACAGCAAGUAAAGAACCUUCAUCGUUAAAAGUUAGUGCUAGUUGUUGUCCAACAUCUUCCAAUGGCUCAAGUACUUUCUCAGAUGAUCGCAGACCCAAUGAACGAUUUUCAUCUGUCUGAAAAUCCCAGUCAAACCAUCUGCAGCUUUUUGGCAAUGAGCAUAUAAGACCUUCUCCACCUGGAUGUACUGCCAUCCUAUAAGGCAGAUCACCGCCAGUUCCUAACCUAGCCACGGGUUCAUCAGAGAGCACAUUAGAAUCAAAAUCGAAUUGAGCAACAAUGAGAGCAUUACGAAUACCGCUAUUCCCUUCCCCACCACCUCCGGCAAGAACAACAUAGUUUCCCGGUGCCGAUGACGAUGAUUUGUCUCCGUCGUCCUUUUCAUCAUCGACCGACGGUUCAACGGCAGAUCUGAGAGCGAUCGGUGGAACCCAACCGGCACCGUAAAUUGGGACUCCGUAGUUUUUGGAAUUGGCAAAUUCAGCCAUCUUUGGUAACUGUGAUCUCAGCGUAUCGAGAAAUUGAGAUGCGCACCAGAGGCUUUU
rnacentral:misc_RNA from 1 species